rnacentral:rRNA from 1 species
GACAGAGGGUGCAAACGUUGUUCGGAAUUACUGGGCGUAAAGCGCGCGUAGGCGGUUUUGCAAGCCAGAGGUGAAAUGCCUGAGCUCAACUUAGGAAUUGCCUUUGGGACUGCGAGGCUUUGAGGACUGGAGAGGUGAGUGGAAUUCCCAGUGUAGAGGUGAAAUUCGUAGAUAUUGGGAAGAACACCGGUGGCGAAGGCGGCUCACUGGCCAGUCUCUGACGCUGCAGCGCGAAAGCGUGGGGAUCAAACAGG